rnacentral:rRNA from 1 species
GGGAGGCAGCAGUGGGGAAUUUUGCGCAAUGGGGGGAACCUUGACGCAGCGACGCCGCGUGGGUGAUGAAGGCCUUCGGGUUGUAAAGCCCUGUUGGGGGGGAAGAUAAUGACGGUACCCCCUGAGGAAGCCCCGGCUAACUACGUGCCAGCAGCCGCGGUAAGACGUAGGGGGCGAGCGUUGUCCGGAAUUACUGGGCGUAAAGGGCGUGUAGGCGGCUUUUCAAGUCGGCUGUGAAAUUCCCCGGCUUAACCGGGGGGGUGCAGUCGAAACUGAUGGGCUUGAGUGCAGGAGAGGGUGGUGGAAUUCCCGGUGUAGCGGUGACAUGCGUAGAUAUCGGGAGGAACACCGGUGGCGAAGGCGACCUCCUGGCCUGUUACUGACGCUGAGGCGCGAAAGCUGGGGGAGCAAACAGGAUUAGAUACCCUGGUAGUCCCAGCUGUAAACUCUGGGUACUAGGUGUGGGGGGCUUCGAUGCCCUCUGUGCCGUAGUUAACGCAU